rnacentral:rRNA from 1 species
AAGCCAUGCAUGCCUCCGAGUAACUGGCAAGAUAAGAGGUCUGCGAACGGCUCAUUAAAUCAGCAAUAAUCCUCGGGGCGGAGUGGGGUGUAAAAACCUCGCCAGAUGGAUAACUUUGGUAACACCAAAGCUAAUACGUGUAUGAGAGAUUCUACCCGGUAACGCUCAGGGGAAAACCUGCGAGCAAGGGUAGGAUGCGCUUGGCCGAAAGGAAAAUCAGCCCGCGAAAAGCGGAGCCAAGUGGUGAGACAGGCCAUGAACGCGAUAGCGCUGGUUAAGCUAGCGCAGUGCCCCAGGGAUUGCUGCCCUAUCAUGCUUUCGAAGGUAGGGUCGUGGCCUACCUUGGCGAUUACGGGUAACGGGGAAUUAGGGUUCGAUUCCGGAGAGGGAGCCUGAGACAUGGCUACCAGUUCCAUGGAAGGCAGCAGGCGCGCAAAUUGCCCAAUGCCGAGACCCUCGGCGAGGCAGCGAAGAGAAAUAGCAACCCUACGCGCUAAUGCGUGUGGGGAUUGCAAUGACGUGUACUUAGACCAACGCGCGAUUAUCAAUUGGAGGGCAAGUCUGGUGCCAGCAGCCGCGGUAAUUCCAGCUCCAAUAGCGUAUAUUAAAGUUGUUGCUGUUAAAAAGCUCGUAGUUGGAUUCAGAGUCAGGGGUUGUGGUAAGUUGGUUGUGACCAUCCAGGGGAAAUCCCUGGCGUGGAAACAGCUGGUAAAACUAUCACGUAGGCCCCUGGCUUUACAACAGGGAUAAAGAAAGCCAGAGGUGGGUCCUCUUAAUUGAGGGUCUCCUCGUGCCCGCGUCGAAAACGCGCAGAUGGCUCGUCCCUGGAAGUUACUGUGAGUUAAGCAGCGUGUUCAAGGCAGUCGGCUUGCCGACUUGAAUGUCCAAGCAUGGAAUAACAAGGGAUCGACCACUCCGGUUGGUCUUUUGUUGGUUUUUGCCACGGAGGAAGGGCAACUUGAUUUAGGGUAAACAAGGGAGUCACUGGAGCUCUCAUGGAGGGCAACAUACGACCUUGAGCCCUAGAUCGUCGGGAUCAAUAGGGGCAACCCGGGGAGAUACGUACUGCCUGGUCAGAUGUGAAAUUCUUAGACCCAGGCAAGACGAACUUCUGCGAAGGCAUUUCUCAAGCGUGCCUUCAUUAAUCAAGAACGAGAGUGUGGGGAUCGAAGACGAUCAGAUACCGUCGUAGUCCACACUGUAAACGAUGCCGACUCGGGAUUGGGGGUUGCCUAAUUAUAGUCUCCCCCAGUACCACCCCCUGAACCGAGAAAUCAAAGUUUUUGGGCUCAGGGGGGAGUACAAUCGCAAGGCUGAAACUUGAAGGAAUUGACGGAAUGGCACCACAAGGCGUGGAGUGUGCGGCUUAAUUCGACACAACACGGGAAACCUUACCAGGUCAGGACAACGUGAGGAUUGACAGAUUGAGAGCUCUUUCAAGAUUCAUUGGAUGGUGGUGCAUGGCCGUUGCUGGUUGGUGGGGUGACCUGUCUGGUUGAUUCCGUUAACGAACGAGAUCUCUACCACUAAAUAGGUGCCGGCCUCGUA